CAGUAGCCGCGGUAAUACGUAGGGUGCAAGCGUUAAUCGGAAUUACUGGGCGUAAAGCGUGCGCAGGCGGUUAUAUAAGUCAGAUGUGAAAUCCCCGGGCUCAACCUGGGAACUGCAUUUGAGACUGUAUGGCUAGAGUGUGUCAGAGGGGGGUAGAAUUCCACGUGUAGCAGUGAAAUGCGUAGAUAUGUGGAGGAAUACCGAUGGCGAAGGCAGCCCCCUGGGAUAACACUGACGCUCAUGCACGAAAGCGUGGGGAGCAAACAGGAUUAGAUACCCGCGUAGUCCCUGUCUCUUAUAC
rnacentral:rRNA from 1 species